rnacentral:rRNA from 1 species
AUUAAAGAGUUCUAUAACUCCCAAACCCAUGUGAACAUACCUAACGUUGCCUCGGCAGGUCGCACCUACCUUGUAGCACCCUACCCUGUAGGGCCUACCCGGGAGGUGCGGGUAAGCCUGCCGGCGGCCCACCAAACUCUGUUUGAUAUUGAAUUCUGAACCUAUAACUAAAUAAGUUAAAACUUUCAACAACGGAUCUCUUGGUUCUGGCAUCGAUGAAGAACGCAGCGAAAUGCGAUAAGUAAUGUGAAUUGCAGAAUUCAGUGAAUCAUCGAAUCUUUGAACGCAUAUUGCGCCCAUUAGUAUUCUAGUGGGCAGGACCGUUCGAGCGUCAUUUCAACCCUUAAGCCUUCGUUGCUUAGUGUUGGGAGCCUACGGCAACGUAGCUCCUCAAAGUUAGUGGCGGAGUUGGUUCACACUCUAGACGUAGUAAUUUUUUAUCUCGCCUAUUAGUUGGACUAAUCCCCUGCCGUAAAACCCCUAAUUUAUCAAGGUUGACCUCGAAUCGGUUCAGACAAACUCGCUAAAUUGAAGCAUCUUAGUCAGCGAAGGAAAAGAAACCAACAGGGAUUGCCCUAGUAACGGCGAGUGAAGCGGCAACAGCUCAAAUUUGAAAUCUGGCCCUCGGGUCCGAGUUGUAAUUUG